AUCUUUACAGUGUGGUAUGGACCGUGAGAGGGAGGAAAAACGCUAUGUGUGUUGGAAAAAGUUUGAAAUGAUCUUACAAAAGAACCUACAUCAAUUGAUUGAAGCUGUGAGUUAAUUUCGUGCAAUCAGAUUUCGUGUAGCCUCACUUUCGUCGUAUGUCAUCUAGUUUUACUAGUAUAUCACUGCCGAAGUGCAGCGCGUGACAGUUGUUUCGUUAGUAUAAACAACUGACGCAAUGCAAGGCUUUUUGUGCUAAUUCGUGUUGCUAAAUCUAGAGCGUUACUUAAACUGAAUUACUGAUGUUGAAAUGGCUAAAUUAAGGACGUCUUAUACCAUAAUACAGAAACAGUGCCCCGUGCAAGGGAUAGGUUACUGUAAGUUGUACGGCGUAUGUCCACUUUCGCAUUUACAAAAUAAAUAAGAAAAAGAAUGAAAGAGGAAAAGAAUUAUAUCACUCUCUAAAACCCGAGUUGUGCAUAAGAGCUUCCCCCAAAUUCUAGUAAAACAUGUAUAUUUCUGACAGAGCAGUCAAUCUGGAAUACCAAAUUACCUGUGAUAUUACUGUCUACUUCAACUGUAGGUAGCUUCACAAUGCUGGACAUUAUAAAUCAUUUGAGAGCAGUACGUGAUUUGGAAUAAUUCUGUCUGCUACCUUCACGUGAUGCACAUAUUGUUAAUUUUUAUAGUGAGCAAAUUUCAAAUUGCAUAGCAGUUAUUAUGAUUGGAACAUAGAAAAUUCAGCUUCCAGGGUUGUUGUAUCCAGGUUUCAUACAAUGGAACCAGAGAAAAGCCCCUCGGCUGUGGUACAGAAAACAAUUGAAGAUGUUCUUGAAGAGAUAGACAGCGAGUACUUUGACAGUAUUACAUUUGAUCCUUGUAUUCAUGAACUAAAAAAACUCCCUGAUGUCCUCGACAUACACAGUAUUCAGGCUCGACGGGAAAACUUAAGACAGCAGCAUAUGGUGGUAUCUAAAAGAGUUUUGCAGUUAAUUUUGCAAAAGCAAUCUCAGCGUCAUGAUGAAGUUGCGAGAAUACUGGAAAUUCAGCAGCAGUUACAAGCAGCACUAAGGCUCUGCCGGGAAGGGAGGACAAGCUUGAGUGGAGCUAAAUCACAGUUCACAACUACAAGUUUGGGAAUUCUUGCCAAUUAUCGGAAGAAACAGACACUUCGAGGCUUGCUACAUUCAUUAAAUACCAUAAAAACAUUGCUGUGCACUGAAGAGCGCCUGCAGGAGUUGCUGAAUGAAGCGAAUUAUGCCAGAGCUAUUAGCUUGCUUCUGGAAUGUCAAAGAGCUGCAUGCACGUACCGCCAUUUUAACUGUGUUGCUGCACUCAGUGGAAAGCUACAGGAUACUUUAGAAAUGGCAGAGGAACAGCUUGACGGAGCUUUGACAAAAGUAUGUGCAAAAUUUCAGCCAGAAUUUUAUAACAACGUAAUGACAGCGUAUCAGUUACUAGGAAAAACACAGAUGGCAAUGGAUCAGUUACAUAUGCACUUCUAUUCUGCUAUUCACAAUAAAGCUGUGGAAGUUAUACGUCAGUGUGUGGACAACACUGAAAGUCUUGUAACUGGAGGUGCUUCAAGCUCUCUAAAGCCUUUUCGUCUAUUGUGUCAGAAUGUUGUGCCUGAAAAAUUUAUAGAUUGUCUGCUCAACUUAUGCAAAUCUUUGUGGGAAGUUAUCUUGAAUUACAACCAAAUGCGGAUGUGGCACAAACAGAACGCAUGUCAGCAGCUACAGAAAGGGGGUGUUAGUACUGUAAUAGACUUUGAACUGAGUUGUGAUCAGAAGUAUGUAGAGCAAAAACUGGAGAAAGGAAUGUUUCGUAUGUGGCACGAUGUCCAGUCCAGGGUAGGAGCGUAUCUAAUGGGAUGUGACUUGGCCAGGUUCAAAUUUGAAGAGUUUCUUCAAAUUCUUUCAGUUGUUCACAGGUUGAUGGAAGUAGGUGAGGAAUUUUGUGGAAGCAAAUCAGAAGAAUUACAAAAUUCUAUUCGAGAACAGAGUACAAAUUACUUUAAAAGUUAUCACAGAGAACGCUUGGAAGAGCUAAGGCUGUUCUUAGAAAAUGAGAAUUGGGAACUCUGCCCUGUUAAAAAUAAUUUCACUAUCCUUCAGUUACAGGAAUUCAAAUCAUUGCGAAAUGCUCUGAAAGGGAUAAAAUUUGAUGAAGGUAGCAGCUUGAACCUCACAAGUCAUACAGCAAGUCCUGACUGUAGUACCAGUAGUGCUCAUUCACAAGAUAGCUCGUCAACUGCUGGAGGCUAUUUUCUACGUUAUUCAGAAUCAGGGUCACCAUUUGAUAUUAUACCUGUUGAGUCGCAGGAGGAGGACAUCUUGGCCAAUAUAAGGGAUGGCAUGUCUGUGGACUACAGUGAUGAAAGCGAUGACGACGUUCCAGAAGAUGUAAAGAAAGACUUCGUUGAUGAAGGAGGGGGUGAAAACAAUAAAAAUACAAAACCAUUUGUAAGGAAACAGGUGCAACAUGAUUUUCUUAAAGUGCCUGUACUCACAACUACAACAUUAACAGUUCUGCGUUACUGUGGAAAAUAUCUCCAAAUGAGUCAGCUUCUGCGACGUAUUGCAAGUGAUGUUAUUGCAGGAAUGAUUCAGUUGUUUGAAUACUACAUGUAUGCUGUUUUUGUCUUCUUCACUGCUGACCUGCAAGGGCCUGAAAAUUAUACUUUCAGUCUUAGACUUCAAGCAACAUUAAAACAUAUAGAAGGAAGCCUCAUUCUCCUUGAUAGAUCAGAUAGCGAAAUUCAGUCACAGAAGAAUAAGAUAGCACGUCCAUAUAUGUCUCCAGAUAUUGACUUGAGUCAAUCUCAGAGACUCUAUGGUUUGCCAAAAAGAAUUAUUGCUGUUGAGUCACUAGUUCAUUUAGCAAAGCAGCUGGAGUCGUUAAAACCAUAUGUAGAACAGUUGCUAGAACAAACAUGCAAGACUGAGCCAUAUUUUCAGCAAUUCUAUACACAAACAAUAAGUGCAGCAGUUGACCUUCGAAGGCCAGUGUAUAUGUGUGUCUCGCAGCGCAUAGUUGAUUUUGGUAGAAUGUUGCACCUAAUGAGCAAAGUUAAUUGGGAAGUGAAGGAUGUUAUGAGCCAGCACAGUGACUAUGUUGAUGCCUUAAUGAUGGAGUUAAAAACAUUUUUCUCCCAGCUGGAGAGUGUUGCUGCAAUAGUGCCGUUGCCUCCAGAAGUGAACAAAGUGCUUUGGAGUAACCUCAUAGAACUGAUAUGCAACACCUUUGUUGAAGGGUUCUCAAAUGCAAAGAAGUGUUCCAAUGGAGGAAGGGCAUUAAUGCAGUUGGAUUUUACACAGUUCCUAACACAGCUGGACAAACUUGUGAUGAUCCGCCCAAUACCAAAUAAAGAAUAUGUAGAAAUGUAUGUAAAAGCUUACUAUCUUCAGGAACCUGCUCUAGAAAAAUGGAUUAAAGAACAUAAUGAGUACUCCAGUAAACAUUUGUUGGCCCUCGUGAGCUGUACAUGUCAAAAUCGAAAGAAGUCACGCUUACGUCUUUCCUCAUUGAUUGAGGAACUGGGGAGGUGAUGACUGGAGUACCUUUGUAUGGUCGUUCUGAGUGAGUGAGGUAUGUGGCUCCGCUGAUUUCAGCCUUUUUUAAUUUCCAUAAAAUGUGAGGAACAUGAGUCUCUCUCUCAAGUGCAAUUUUACACACAAACACACCAAGGAAAUGACCAACAUUGAUGUACCGUAGAGCUUUCAAAGCAAAAAGCAGCCUAGUUAAUUUUACAAGUAUUAUUUCAUGCUAAAAAUUAUGAUGUGAAUCUCAUUGAUAACUCACCAUUC